rnacentral:rRNA from 1 species
AUGCGGGAGGAAGAUGAAGAAAAAACAGCAUUCAAGAUGCAUCACGGGCACUACCAUUUUCGAGUGACGCCCUUUGGUCUCUGCAACGCCCCGGCCACAUUUCAAUGCCUGAUGAACACGGUGUUUGGGCGCCACAUGCGUAAGUUCAUCAUCAUUUUCCUUGAUGAUAUCUUGGUCUUCAGCUUUGACCUGCAGGAACACGAAGAACAUCUCCGGGUGACACUGAAUCUCCUGCGAGAGCACCAGCUGUUUGCCAAGGCCUCGAAGUGCUCGUUUGCUCAGACAGGCAUAGAGUACCUUGGCCACAUCAUCUCCAAGGACGGGGUGGCAACCGACCCCAGCAAGACCAGCGCCAUGGACGCAUGGCCCGUGCCAACUACACCAACAGAGCUCCGCGGUUUCCUUGGCCUAACGGGCUACUACCGCAAGUUCGUCCCCCACUACGGCAUCAUCGCCAAGCCGUUGACCCAGCUGCUUACCAAGAAGGGAUUUCAGUGGAGCGACAAGGCCCAGGACGGUUUCGUCAUGCUCAAGAAGGCCACGGUGAGCACGCCCGUGCUCGCGCUCCCAGACUGCAACCGCCUAUUUGCCAUCGAGACCGACGCCUGGGACACGGGCGUGGGUGCGGUACUCACGCAUGAUGGUUACCCCGUGGCCUACAUCAGCAAGGCGCUGGGAGUGCGCAACCAGAAGCUUUUCACAUAUGAGAAAGAAUUUCUGGCGGUGAUGAUGGCGAUCGACAAGUGGCGACCAUAUCUCCAGCAUGCCCCAUUCGAGAUCUUCACCGACCACAAGAGCCUUUGUGCCCUAGGUGACCAGCAACCGGCAACUGAACUCCAAAGAAAGGCCAUGGCCAAGAUGGUCGGUCUCCAGUUCUCCUUCCGCUACAAAAAGGGCACCGAAAACACUGCUGCGGAUGCGCUGUCUCGAGUCGGCCACCUCCUGGCGCUCGACGCGCUCUCCAUGUGUCAACCCCAGUGGCUCCAGGAGGUCGCCAACUCCUACAAGACUGACCCGGACGCACAGGAGCUGCUCGCCAAGCCCGCCAUUUUGAACACGAAUGACCAAGGCCGCACCCUGCAGCAAGGCGUCAUCAGGCAGCGCGGCCGCCUAUGGAUCGGCACAAACUCCGCACUGCAGACGAAGCUGAUCUCCGCGCUCCUCCACAGCGCCGUCGGCGGCCACUCUGGCGCCACGGCCACCUACCACCGCGUCCGCAAGCUGUUCACGUGGCCAGGACUGAAGCGCGCAGUUGAGGAUUUCGUCAGACAGUGUACAAUAUGCCAACAUGCUAAGCACGAGCGCACGCACCUGGUCGGCAAACUUCAACCUUUGCCCAUACCGCAGGAGCCAUGGCAUGAUUUGACCAUGGACUUCGUCAAAGGACUACCAAAGUCAGAAGGAUAUGACGCAAUCAUGGUCGUCAUUGACAGGCUCACCAAGUACGCGCACUUCGUCCCGCUCUGCCACCCCUUCAACGCAGCGUAG